rnacentral:rRNA from 1 species
GACGAACGCUGGCGGCGUGCCUAAUACAUGCAAGUCGAACGAACCGCGACUGAGUGCUUGCACUUGGUCAAGGUGAGUGGCGAACGGGUGAGUAACACGUGGGUAACCUACCUCAUAGUGGGGGAUAACAGUCGGAAACGACUGCUAAUACCGCAUAGGACAUAGGAUCACAUGAUCCAGUGAGGAAAGGUGGCGCAAGCUAUCGCUAAGAGAUGGACUCGCGGUGCAUUAGCUAGUUGGUAGGGUAAAGGCCUACCAAGGCGAUGAUGCAUAGCCGACCUGAGGGGUUGAUCGGCCACAUUGGGACUGAGACACGGCCCAAACUCCUACGAGAGGCAGCAGUAGGGAAUCUACCGCAAUGGGCGCAAGACUGACGGAGCAACGCCGCGUGAGUGAAGAAGGUCUUCGGAUCGUAAAGCUCUGUUGUUAGAGAAGAACAGCGCAUAGAGUAACUGCUAUGCGUGUGACGGUAUCUAACCAGAAAACCACGGCUAACUACGU